rnacentral:lncRNA from 1 species
GGGCCGCGCCGCGCCACGCCCCGCUGCCCGCGCGGCACGCGGCGCCCCCUGGCGGCCACGUCGCCACCUCCCGGCAGCCGUGCGCGCGUCCGGCGCCGCGGCCUCACGGCCAGACGCAGCGCGCGCCCCACCCCGCCCCGCCGCGCCCGCCUGCCUCCUGCGCGGAGCGGCGCGUGGGGCGGCUGGCUGCGUGUGCAGCGGCGAGGUCUGUCAGGGCGGGUCCGCUGGCGGGCGGCCGCAGCUGCCGGCCCACGGGCCUCACCCGGCCCGGGGGCCUGCCCUGCCUGUCUGCCGGGCUCAACGCGCCCCGGGGCCGCCGGUGCCCUGGGCUGACCGUGCUUCACCCGUGCCGGUCAGGGCCCGCUUCUCGUUGGAAAAAGCUGCUCGCCCCCCGCAACCCCCGUGCGCGGAGCGGAGCCUUCUCGGGCCGCGGCAGUGUUAAACCGGCCGCCUCUCUGCCCCGGACGCGCCCGGUCCCGCAGGGCUCCCGGUGCGGGAGCACCCGCCGCUGCUGAGCGCGGGGGAGCAUUGCAGCUCGGUGCUGCGCGCCAAACGGGAAGCUUGCUGAUGUCUGAUUAUCCCUGAACACUUAUAUUGUACCGGGAACCUCGCAGCCCUCGCUCCGCACCGUGUCUGUAUGCUGCUAAUGGCGAAGCGCGGUUAUGAGUGUGCGAUGCUCCAGCUGGCUGAGAAACCCACGCUAGCUCCAGCUUAUAGCUGAGUGCGAGCAGCUCUAGUAUUCCUGAGGCCUGGGUGUCACUCAAAUUCUCGCUUUGAUCUGGUAUAACGUCUUAGAACACACCUAAAGCCAGUGAGAAGAAUGGCUUGUUUUAGUGAUAAAUGGAGGGAAAGGUGAUACUCAUUCCACAUCUCCCCUCACUUAGUGUCUCCUUCCCCUCAUAUAUGCUAAUCUGAAGUGUGUUAUUUUAUUAUACAACCUCACAGCAUCCUUAUAAAAUAGAGACUUCAUCUGUCCCUGUAACAGGCACACAAGUUUUGGCUUGGCCAAAAUUUUACCUAGUGUACCUUAGUCUCAGUUUUAGGGGAGAAGGGCAGGCUUUGACAAACUAUGUCUUUUUUUCUAUAAGUUAGCUGGGCAUGACAAUUUAAAUUGUAACUUGGUUAUUAAAGCAUUUCCUCAGUGUCCGAACAACUCCAAGACUAUCCGGAUUUAAUCAGAGUCUACGUUACCACUUUUUGUGACCUGCUUUUCGUCUCAUGAUACUAUCAGACUUUAAAACAAGGUGAUCCAUAAGAUACCAGCUUAUGACACAAAACUGCUAUACAAAGAAGGCAUUUGAUACCAUUAAAAAUGAGCUGCAAGUAUAUAAUCAAGUUCUUAGGUCAGCCAGUGUUUCAUCUCAAAAGUUUCAUAACCAUAUUGAUCUAAAAAGUCAUUGGAGUCUUUCACCAUAACAAUUUUUUUGAACAAAAAUGCCCUGGUGCUUAGGAAUACAUUCUAAUUUCCAGUUUAAAUUUGCUCAUGUCCUGUUUAUUCUUCUAAUGCCAGUAUUACUGAUAGUUUAAACAACUCUCACCUUCUAUAAAGUCUGUUUGCCAUAAGAGAAUAAUUUUAUCCUCUCAACAAUUUAAUUUUGCUACCAUAACAGACUUAGUCUCCUAUGGCAGGAUAACCUUUCAGUUUGCAUAAUCAUCCUAGUGUCACUUUUACCUUCAUUUUUGCAGAUGCUGCAGUUUCAGUUCAGCCUGUCCUGUGUGCAGUGUUUAAUAUAGACAUGGUUCUCUUACUCACCUGAGCACGUCAGCUGUGGAUAUCCAGGUCAAUAAGGGUUUUUAAAUAUUAUUUUCUUUGAGCUGUGUGUGCUGACAAAAAAAAAAAAAAAAAUCAAAGGAAAUGGAUGAUACGUUGCUUUAAAGAAUGUGACAAUUAACACAUGAUGCACGUUUAAAAAUGCUUCAGCUUUCCAAACCAGACCUUUCUUGUGAAGUUUGUCAGGAGCACGUGGUUAGAUACCAAGCCGUUUUUAGAAGAUUGCCAGCUAAAUGUGGCUGAGUUAGAUGCUGACGCUAGACAGUGGCAGAAAUGGCAGAAGUACUUCUUAUGUGAUCUUAUGUUUAGCUUUUAAAGGGCAGAGCAACUGGCUUGUUCGGUCAAGGUGCCAAACAGAAUAAUAUUUUUGUUACUGGGCCUGGUUAUUAAAUACCUCUUGUGAAAAGAAGCUGUUCUGCAAAUCCAGGUAGGGGUCAGAUUUUGUAAUAGUACUGUAAUUUCUAUCAAAGGUCCAGUUCCAUUUUCAGAAUCACAAAGCUCUACCUUGGCUACUUAGCAAUUACCAUGGACCCUCUAGCUGUUAAUACUAACAGGUUAACCAUCCUCGGGCUGAGCUGCAAUAAUUUCUUUUUCUUACUUUUGCUGCUAUCUUCCCUGAAUUAAAGAAAAAAUCAGAGUUUCUUGCAUUAACUGCAAAGUACUGAAAAAUUAUAUUCUUUUUGAAACUUUCUCUUUUAAUUCCAUGUUCCUUUCCAUGUUUUCUUUUUUUUAAUUUAUGUAAAUUUGACCAGUAAAGAUCUAAUGUUGCUGCUUCUGCAUACUGCUAAUAGGGGAGUGCCAGUAUACUACACUUGUAGGAUACUUUUAAUGUGUUUGAAGUUUGCAUUAAGAAAAUGCUAUUUCUCUAGCUUUGCUUAUUUUAAUUCUCUGGAGCCAGUUUUGCUACACUGGUAUGAACAAGGGAUUUUGGCAGAAGAGAUACAUCAAUCGUAUUACUGAAGCUGAAGAAAGAAAAUGUCACACUUAAAAUAAUUAUUUCAAAGAAAUUCAAACCUCAAACAAUUUUAGCUGCAGUUCCAAUAUAUAAAAGUGUACACUUGAGGGAUUUUUAAUGUUUUAAAAUUUUUGGCAAGGCCUAAUUAUGUAUUUUCAAGGAAAAGAAUUGAUCAUAGGAAAAGAAUCAGCAUAAAGAAUAUGUAAUUACUUUAGAACAAUGGUUUUGCUACUAGUACUAUGACACAUAGCAUGAUGUGAUAGGGUGGUUUUAUGGACAAAAGAUGGGGUGUUUUCAGUCCUUAGAGACAUCAUAGCUGUAAAUGAAUUAAGCAGGUUGUCAUAAAUAAAACUUAUGCUUACCAAGCACUUAUAUAUACUACACAACUUUCCAUACCUGCCAUAAGUGAAGCUGUAUGAAACACAGAGUAAGGAAUGAACACUUAAGACAUGUAAGGGAGCACCAGGGAGCUAUGUUUACCCUUUUUGCAGGGUACAUUUUGUACAGUUACUUUCAUAGUUCCCUUGUGAAUGAGUUCUUUGUGCACUGCUCGACAGGUUUGAAUAGUCAAAUCUUCCAGAUAGGAAAAAGAGUCUAACUAGAUAAAGUAAUUAUGGUGUAACAGGAUUUUAUGAGAUCAUGAUGUGUAAUCUGAAUCAUGUUUUUCUGCAGGACUGAAAGAAUAUAGAUCCAAAUAUAUGCAAAUCUAAUGCAGAGAAAUGUAAACGUAUCUACAUAUAAAAAAUAACCUACUAACUCCUUCCUCUUGUGAUCUCAUAUUCUCAAAAUGUAUGUUGAUAUUAAACACUUCUGCAUUUUAAAAGAAUUUCAGUGAUUUUGUCUGGAUAUAGAGAAGCUCAGGAAUUCUUCGAAUUGUUUCUGUUGCAGUUAUCUUGAACACCAAAUGGUACAUUUGGUGUCAUCUUCACAAAUGUAACACUAGUUCUGCUGGCAAUUUGUGGCGGAAAGUAGGAAUUUUGAUGUGAUUUUGGAUGCAACACAGAAGCCUGAUGUAUAAAAAUUGAUAUCUUGAAUGUGCAGCAAAACAAUGUACUUGUGCAGAGGCAAAGGGAAUUGUAAGGAUAGGGUGAAUACGUUCACUAAAAGAUCUAGUUCUGCUGUUCAGAGCUGAUUAAGGUGUUUGACUGUAUUUUCUAAUUGUAUUUUCUUUUUUUUUCUGUAGCUUCUAUUUUUCCUGAUAUUUUAUCUGCAGUAAACUUUUCCUUCCAGCUGUUGUAUAAGUAGCAUUAUGCCAAUUGAUGCUGUUAUUUUACCAGCCUGGCUUCUUUUUUAUUCCUCCUUAGGUAGAAUUUAAAUUCAGUAAAGUGUACGGACAUUUAUGGAUCUCUUCUGAGAUCUUCCCAGUAGGUGCCUGGGAUGGGUUGUAGGUGGAAUGUUUGAGGGGGUGGUAGUUACUUCAAGACUAUUAACUGUUUAAUCUUUAGCCUGCAGGUGUGAGACAGGAUGGCUCAGGCAGUUGGUAAUGGGAUAAAGCUUUUCACCUCUGAAUUGCCAACUCUGGGCCAGAUUAGUGGGAACAGAAUAUUUCCACCAUCUGGUGUCUGGUCAGUGACCCAUAUGAGAGAAAUUGGUAGCCAUCCCUGCUACCGGUGAGCAACUUUACAAUUAAAAAAAAACCCAAAACCCACUCUGAGAAUGAUUUCAUCACUAACAGCCCUAAAUGAACAUAAGGACUAACAAUCCCGCUAGAAACCUAAUUGUCAGACCUCAGCACACUGAAGGGAGCAUAGGAAAAUUUGUCAGUGUCAGCUGUCAGGAGAUGAUGUUUUAUUUUAGAAAGCAAACAACUGAUAGUUUUUUGCUGAAAAUGACAGCAGCUUGUAAGGAAAGUGACUUGAUUUUUUGGUGAUGCAGAAAAGCAGAUAUCAACAUCCUCCAGAAUCCUACCACUCUUCAAAAUGCAAAUAUCCAUCGGUAAUAAAAAAAUGAUUGGUGUAGGUUGGCAAUAUUUGAUUAGAACAUAGUUCAGCUGAAAGAUAUGCUCUAUUCAAAUGUAUAAAGUUUUGCCUUAUUGCAGUCUGAGACAGGUUAGCUCAGGCUGACUGAAUGAAUAAUAAGUUACGAAUCAGUUGGGAUCAAUGCCAAGUUGGGAUUCUUUGUAACAUAGUGCUCCUGAACACUGCACCCAUUUCUAUUUUAGAAAUAAAAUCAGAUGUAAUUACAGAAUCUGUGAAUUGGGCUGGUGUCUGAAUUUCUGUAAUCUUCUGAAGCAAUUUGCUAUCUGACUGAAAAAACCCAGUUAAAUAGCCACUUAAAAGAGAAAGAAAAAGGCCCUACUGUAAUAUUCAAAAAA